AACAUUUACUUUUAUACAGUGCCUUCUUAAUCUUUACAUACACUACAUAUUUAUUUUUCUUUUUUAGACUUAUUUUCUAAAUUCUUUUCUUUCCCACCAUUUUGCCUAUUUUGUUUCUUCUUUGGCAGUUUCUUUUCUGUUCUUCACGUUCUCAUCAAAUCGAUCAACAUAUUGGUUUCACAUAGCAGAUCUGGAUCAAAAGAAUCGCUGAAGCAGCGGAAUGGUGACGACGGUGACAGAACCAUGUGGAAGAAGUAACGGCGGCGGCGGCGGCAAAAUGAUGAGGCGAAAAAAUGGCGGUGUCGGAACGACGAUGAAGGCGGUGGUUGAAUGAUGAUGACGAUAGUAGCUUCUGAUCUGGCUUAUUGUAAAUAGCUAAAUUUCAAAAAGUGUGUGUUUAUGAGAUCAAUGAAGGGGAUCGUGGACCUUUGAAUUCUUGUUUUCAUCAUUUUUGAAAAUUUGAAGGAUAUUUUUAAUAUUCCUGCUGUAAUUUAUGUCCAGCCUGAUGUUGUUCGUGGUCGUCGAGCCGAUGCCCAUGGUCAUCUUGCUGAGUAUUCCGGUGCUGAAAGAACUCAUGUCGCUGCUUUCAUAAGUCCAAAUCCUUUGUUGCACACUGCUCAACUUAUGAAAUUGUUUAUUUGUUUUAUGUUCUUAGAAUUUGAGCUGUUUGUUUGUGGCUCUUAAUUUGUAAGUUUCAUCAUAAAUUGUUGUCACCAAGCUUGUAAUUGGAUAAUGAAAAUCAUGUGCUAAAUAUACUAUAUUCUUAAGGUAUUAUUUUUAAGUAAUCCGUAAUUAUUUGUAUAUGACAUCAUCAAGGAAAUUAGCUUUAUGGCAUUGCAA